UACGGAGGGUGCGAGCGUUGCUCGGAAUUAUUGGGCGUAAAGCGUACGCAGGCGGCUUCAUAAGUCGGGUGUGAAAGCCCGGGGCUCAACCCCGGAAAUGCGCCCGGGACUGUGGGGCUUGAGUGCGGGAGAGGGAAGCGGAAUUCCUGGUGUAGAGGUGAAAUUCGUAGAUAGUCAGGAGGAACGACCGGUGGCGAAAGCGGCUUCCUGGCCCGACACUGACGCUCAUGUACGAAAGGCGUGGGGAGCAAACAGGAUUACGAGUACCCAGUAGUCAGACCC
rnacentral:rRNA from 1 species